rnacentral:lncRNA from 10 species
CAAAACGGCCAGGUGCGGUGGCUCACCCAACCCACCUGUUUUAUAUUCCUUUUUCUCAUUUCUUGUCUCCUUUUGGAUUAAUAAAAUAUUUUUAAUAUUCCAGUUCUUUUGAUUAAUUUGUUGUUUUACAAUAUGUUACUAUUCUUAUAGUAGUUGCCUUAGAUAUUACAAGUUGCAUCCUUAACAGUUACCAAAAAAUAGUAAUUUCAACACUUCAGAAUAUUUACAAUAAGUAUUUAGAAAUAUUUUAACUUCAUUAUUCUCCCAACUUUUGCAUUGUUUUCGUGAAUCCUAAAUCUACAUAUAUUUUAAAUUCCAUAAGACAUUACUUAGGACUAUAUUGUGCAAUUAUAUAAAUUUAUGUUUAUCCACAUAUUUAUACUUUUUAGUGCUCUUUAUUCCCCCUUGUGUAUGCAUGUCUUUAUGUGAAUCAUUUUUCUUUUUCCUGGAAAAUUUACAAUUAGUGUUUCCUUAAAUAAAGGC